GCCAUCUUAGCUCAGUUGGUAGAGCAACUGAUUCGUAAUCAGUAGGUCGACGGUUCGACUCCGUUAGAUGGCUCCA
rnacentral:tRNA from 2 species